ensembl:rRNA 5S_rRNA 5S ribosomal RNA
AACUUUGGCCACAUCACCCUGAAUGUGCCCGAUCUCUUUUGAGCCCUGAAGGUAAGCAGGGUCAAAUCUUGUUAGUCUGUGGGUGUGAAGUCU